rnacentral:lncRNA from 1 species
AGAUAACUUGUGCCACAAUCCUUCUAAUCGCUCUCCCAUUUUGAAUCCCCAAUAGACUAGUUCUCGAAAUCUGUAAAACAACAAGAGAUGGUAUAAUGAGCUAGACAGCCCAGUAAGUAAUGAACACUCUAGCUAGAUAAAUCAAGCAAUAAUAUGUGGAAAAUAAAUAAAUAUGCAGUUCCAAAGUAUAAGUCAAAUAUUUCUUAAAUUCAUAAGAUUCUUUUCACAUAUUCAAGAUUCUUUCACAUAUUCAAUUCAUCUUGUCGAUUCCGAACUAUGACCACAUGUUCCCUAUGGCAGGAUCAUCAACACCGACUAUUCUUCUUGCGGUGAGUCCUUCAGGACAGUCAAUUGCCAACGUAUCUGCCCCUAUUGGCAGGGUCCUCAACAUAGCCAGGUCGAAGUUCAGUUUGUUCUCUAUUUCAUAUUUCAGUUAUAUAAAAGAAAACAUACAGUGUCAAAAUCAAAUACCGUUCAUAUCUUAAUUUCUUUCAAUUUAUUAGAUUCAACUCAACAACCAGGAACUAUGACCACAUGUUCCCUGUGGCAGGGUCAUAUCACCGACUAUUCUUCUUGUGGUACCAAUGUAUUAGCCCCCAUUGGCAGGGUCCUCAACAUAGCCCGACUGCAAGUCUGAAUCUAUUUCAGGUCAUUAUCUUUUCUUACAUUAUGUUCAGUGUUCCAAGCCGAAAAGUACAAUGUCAGAGCAAGUAAAUACAAUUCAAAUCUAAAGUAAAUACGUUCAAUCAGAGCCAUACAAUAUUCUAAAAAUAUACAUAUAAUCCAUGCAUCAAAUUCGAAAUCACGAAUAAUUCGAUUCGUAAAACAGAUAUUUAGUUUGCCGAUAAAUCUAGUAAAGAAGUUACAUCACUUACCUUGCGAACGCGAUCCACAACAAAUCCAAUUAAUUCCGCAAAUCCCUCGCAGAACCUAAUAUUCAAAAACCAUAUUUUCUUUUAAAAUUCAUCACAAUAUAUAUAUAAAACCUAAAUUUUAGCAUUCUCCCAGGG